rnacentral:rRNA from 1 species
UACAGGGGGAUAACACUUAGAAAUAGGUGCUAAUACCGUAUAAGCGCACGGUUCCGCAUGGAACAGUGUGAAAAACUCCGGUGGUAUACGAUGGAUCCGCGUCUGAUUAGCCAGUUGGCGGGGUAACGGCCCACCAAAGCGACGAUCAGUAGCCGGCCUGAGAGGGUGAACGGCCACAUUGGGACUGAGACACGGCCCAAACUCCUACGGGAGGCAGCAGUGGGGAAUAUUGCACAAUGGGGGAAACCCUGAUGCAGCGACGCCGCGUGAGUGAAGAAGUAUCUCGGUACGUAAAGCUCUAUCAGCAGGGAAGAAAAUGACGGUACCUGAUUAAGAAGCCCCGGCUAACUACGUGCCAGCAGCCGCGGUAAUACGUAGGGGGCAAGCGUUAUCCGGAUUUACUGGGUGUAAAGGGAGCGUAGACGGCAGCGCAAGUCUGGAGUGAAAUGCCGGGGCCCAACCCCGGAACUGCUUUGGAAACUGUGCAGCUCGAGUGCAGGAGAGGUAAGCGGAAUUCCCAGUGUAGCGGUGAAAUGCGUAGAUAUUAGGAGGAACACCAGUGGCGAAGGUGGCUUACUGGACUGUAACUGACGUUGAGGCUCGAAAGCGUGGGGAGCAAACAGGAUUAGAUACCCUGGUAGUCCACGCCGUAAACGAUGAUUACUAGGUGUCGGGGGGCCAAGGCCCUCCGGUGCCGGCG